rnacentral:rRNA from 1 species
CUGAACCAGCCAAGUAGCGUGAAGGAUGACUGCCCUAUGGGUUGUAAACUUCUUUUAUACGGGAAUAAAGUGAUCCACGUGUGGAUUUUUGUAUGUACCGUAUGAAUAAGGAUCGGCUAACUCCGUGCCAGCAGCCGCGGUAAUACGGAGGAUCCGAGCGUUAUCCGGAUUUAUUGGGUUUAAAGGGAGCGUAGGUGGACAGUUAAGUCAGUUGUGAAAGUUUGCGG